rnacentral:rRNA from 1 species
UAUGGAAUUUGCCAGCCGCCGCGGUAAUACGUAGGUGGCGAGCGUUGUCCGGAUUUAUUGGGCGUAAAGGGAACGCAGGCGGUCUUUUAAGUCUGAUGUGAAAGCCUUCGGCUUAACCGAAGUAGUGCAUUGGAAACUGGAAGACUUGAGUGCAGAAGAGGAGAGUGGAACUCCAUGUGUAGCGGUGAAAUGCGUAGAUAUAUGGAAGAACACCAGUGGCGAAAGCGGCUCUCUGGUCUGUAACUGACGCUGAGGUUCGAAAGCGUGGGUAGCAAACAGG